UCGAUCGAGUCUAGGAGUCAGAGUUGCUAAGCUUUAAAGAAUGCAUGAUUAUAUAGUCUCCCUUAUUCAGUUUGAUGUGUAUGUAGUAGAAUCUUGAAAAAUGAGAAAAAGAGAAAAUUUGAAAAUCUCAAAAUAAAGGAAGGAGACAAGUGAAAAAACCCAGUCUCAAGAGAAGAAAAAAACAUAAAAAUAAAAAAAGAAGGCC
rnacentral:lncRNA from 1 species